CACGGAGUUAGCCGGAGCUUAUUCUCCAGGUACUGUCAUUAUCACCCCUGGUAAAAGAGCUUUACAACCCUAAGGCCUUCAUCACUCACGCGGCAUUGCUGGAUCAGGCUUUCGCCCAUUGUCCAAUAUUCCCCACUGCUGCCUCCCGUAGGAGUCUGGGCCGUGUCUCAGUCCCAGUGUGGCUGAUCAUCCUCUCAGACCAGCUAAGGAUCGUCGGCUUGGUAGGCCAUUACCCCACCAACUACCUAAUCCUACGCGGGCUCAUCCCUCGGCGAUAAAUCUUUGGUCCGAAGACAUUAUAAGGUAUUAGCACAAAUUUCUCUGUGUUAUUCCCAACCGAAGGGCAGAUUCCCACGCGUUACGCACCCGUGCCGCCACUAGACCCGAAGGUCUCGUUCGACUUGCAUGUGUUAGGCAUGCCGCCAGCCGUUUGUUCUGAGCCAGGAUCAAACUCU
rnacentral:rRNA from 1 species